AUAGGGUCCCUUAUGAGGGAGCAUUUCUAAAUUAUAAUCUUCUACAAACAUAUCUCUUCACUUCCCCUCACUACAAACUCCUCCCACAGGCCCUCCUUUCACUACAGAUCCCUCCCACUGACCCUCCCCUCACUACAGACCCCUCCCACUGCUCACCCUCUCACUACACAUCCCUCACUUCACUUUAUUAGGAAUCAUAUUGUGUGUAGUGAUUUGAGUAGAUCUCUCUGUCUUAGGUAUUUUAAGGUACCUGUUAUCUGCUAUCUAAGCGCUUCGGAAAUAGGUAGAGGUAUUUAGUGGCUGGGUGCACUAGCUUGGCCAGUGUGAGCUCAAAUUUUAGAUUGCCAGCUGUGCCCCCGGUAACUGUGGUUCUCCAGUGUCUAACCAAGCCAGACAGUCACUCAUAGACCUGUCAUGUUCUGUCUCUGGAACUUUGAAAACUACCACAUACCUGACUUUCUUAAGGCUGGCUUUAUACUUGCUCUGAGGUUCCUUGUUAAUGCUCUAAUUUUCCAACAUGGUGCUGGAUGUGACAAAAGCAGGGCAGGAACUGGCUGCUGUGACUUCGGGAGACCAACAUCAUUUCAAGAAAGGUGUCAACUUUGCCUACCCGCUCUCAGACAUCACCACCCUCCAUUGACUGGAAAGCCCCUCCAUAUUCAGGUAAUUGAUGCUACUCUCUUAAUGCAUUUCUCUGAGAGGUAAGAGGAAGUAGGG
rnacentral:lncRNA from 1 species